rnacentral:rRNA from 1 species
ACAGCAGCAGCCGCGGGAAUACGUAGGUGGCAAGCGUUGUCCGGAAUUAUUGGGCGUAAAGGGCUCGCAGGCGGUUUCUUAAGUCUGAUGUGAAAGCCCCCGGCUCAACCGGGGAGGGUCAUUGGAAGCUGGGAAACUUGAGUGCAGAAGAGGAGAGUGGAAUUCCACGUGUAGCGGUGAAAUGCGUAGAGAUGUGGAGGAACACCAGUGGCGAAGGCGACUCUCUGGUCUGUAACUGACGCUGAGGAGCGAAAGCGUGGGGAGCGAACAGGAUUAGAUACCCGCGUAGUCCCUGUCUCUUAUAA